rnacentral:rRNA from 1 species
AUUGAACGCUGGCGGCAGGCCUAACACAUGCAAGUCGAGCGGAUGAGUGGAGCUUGCUCCAUGAUUCAGCGGCGGACGGGUGAGUAAUGCCUAGGAAUCUGCCUGGUAGUGGGGGACAACGUUUCGAAAGGAACGCUAAUACCGCAUACGUCCUAUGGGAGAAAGUGGGGGAUCUUCGGACCUCACGCUAUCAGAUGAGCCUAGGUCGGAUUAGCUAGUUGGUGAGGUAAAGGCUCACCAAGGCGACGAUCCGUAACUGGUCUGAGAGGAUGAUCAGUCACACUGGAAAUGAGACACGGUCCAGACUCCUACGGGAGGCAGCAGUGGGUAAUAUUGGACAAUGGGCGAAAGCCUGAUCCAGCCAUGCCGCGUGUGUGAAGAAGGUCUUCGGAUUGUAAAGCACUUUAAGUUGGGAGGAAGGGCAGUAAGUUAAUACCUUGCUGUUUUGACGUUACCAACAGAAUAAGCACCGGCUAACUUCGUGCCAGCAGCCGCAGUAACAC